GCGGCAGCUACACAUGCAGUCGAGGGGUAAGGAGAGCUUGCUCUCCCUAGACCGGCGUACGGGUGCGUAACACGUGUACAAUCUACCUUUUACUAAGGGAUAGCCCGAAGAAAUUUGGAUUAAUACCUUAUAGUAUUAUUUUAUGGCAUCAUUAAAUAAUUAAAGCUACGGUGGCAAAAGAUGAGUACGCGUCCCAUUAGCUGGUUGGAGUGGUAACCGCACACCAAGGCUACGAUGGGUAGGGGUUCUGAGAGGGAUGUCCCCCACACUGGUACUGAGACACGGACCAGACUCCUACGGGAGGCAGCAGUGAGGAAUAUUGGACAAUGGUCGGAAGACUGAUCCAGCCAUGCCGCGUGCAGGAUGACGGCCUUAUGGGUUGUAAACUGCUUUUAUACAGGAAGAAUAAGGUCUACGAGUAGAUUGAUGACGGUACAGUAUGAAUAAGCAUCGGCUAACUCCGUGCCAGCAGCCGCGGUAAUACGGAGGAUGCGAGCGUUAUCCGGAAUCAUUGGGUUUAAAGGGUCCGUAGGCGGGCGUAUAAGUCAGAGGUGAAAGCACUGAGCUCAACUGAGUAACUGCCUUUGAAACUGUAUGUCUUGAAUAGUUGUGAAAUAGAUGGAAUGUGUAGUGUAGCGGUGAAAUGCAUAGAUAUUACACAGAACACCGAUUGAGAAGGCAUGUUACUAACGAAAGAUUGACGCUGAGGGACGAAAGCGUGGGGAGCGAACAGGAUUAGAUACCCUGGUAGUCCACGCUGUAAACGACGGAGACUAGCUGUUUGGUAUUCGGACUUUGAGUGGAUAAGCGAAAAUGAUAAGUAUCCCACCUGGGGAGUACGCACGCAAGUGAGAAACUCAAAGGAAUUGACGGGGGCCCGCACAAGCGGUGGAGCAAGUGGUUUAAGGUAGAUGAUACGCGAGGAACCUUACCAAGGUUUAAAUGGGAAGACGACGUACCUAGUAGAUAGAUAGUGCUUCGGACGCUUUCAACGUGCUGCAUGUUGUC
rnacentral:rRNA from 1 species